rnacentral:rRNA from 1 species
AUUGAACGCUAGCGGGAUGCCUUACACAUGCAAGUCGAACGGCAGCACGGACUUCGGUCUGGUGGCGAGUGGCGAACGGGUGAGUAAUGUAUCGGAACGUGCCCAGUAGCGGGGGAUAACUACGCGAAAGCGUAGCUAAUACCGCAUACGCCCUACGGGGGAAAGCAGGGGAUCGCAAGACCUUGCACUAUUGGAGCGGCCGAUAUCGGAUUAGCUAGUUGGUGGGGUAACGGCUCACCAAGGCGACGAUCCGUAGCUGGUUUGAGAGGACGACCAGCCACACUGGGACUGAGACACGGCCCAGACUCCUACGGGAGGCAGCAGUGGGGAAUUUUGGACAAUGGGGGAAACCCUGAUCCAGCCAUCCCGCGUGUGCGAUGAAGGCCUUCGGGUUGUAAAGCACUUUUGGCAGGAAAGAAACGUCGCGGGUUAAUACCCUGCGAAACUGACGGUACCUGCAGAAUAAGCACCGGCUAACUACGUGCCAGCAGCCGCGGUAAUACGUAGGGUGCAAGCGUUAAUCGGAAUUACUGGGCGUAAAGCGUGCGCAGGCGGUUCGGAAAGAAAGAUGUGAAAUCCCAGAGCUUAACUUUGGAACUGCAUUUUUAACUACCGGGCUAGAGUGUGUCAGAGGGAGGUGGAAUUCCGCGUGUAGCAGUGAAAUGCGUAGAUAUGCGGAGGAACACCGAUGGCGAAGGCAGCCUCCUGGGAUAACACUGACGCUCAUGCACGAAAGCGUGGGGAGCAAACAGGAUUAGAUACCCUGNUAGUCCACGCCCUAAACGAUGNCAACUAGCUGUUGGGGCCUUCGGGCGCUGGUAGCGCAGCUAACGCGUGAAGUUGACCGCCUGGGGAGUACGGUCGCAAGAUUAAAACUCAAAGGAAUUGACGGGACCCGCACAAGCG